rnacentral:rRNA from 1 species
UACGGAGGGUGCAAGCGUUAUCCGGAUUCACUGGGGUUAAAGGGUGCGUAGGUGGGCAGGUAAGUCAGUGGUGAAAUCCUGUAGCUUAACUACAGAACUGCCAUUGAUACUAUUUGUCUUGAAUACCCUGGAGGUGAGCGGAAUAUGUCAUGUAGCGGUGAAAUGCUUAGAUAUGACAUAGAACAUCUAUUGCGAAGGCAGCUCACUACGGGAAUAUUGACGCUGAGGCACGAAAGCGUGGGGAUCAAACAGG